rnacentral:rRNA from 1 species
UACGAAGGGGGCUAGCGUUGUUCGGAAUUACUGGGCGUAAAGCGCACGUAGGCGGGCGAUUAAGUCAGGGGUGAAAUCCCGGAGCUCAACUCCGGAACUGCCUUUGAUACUGGUCGUCUAGAGAUCGGAAGAGGUGAGUGGAAUUCCCAGUGUAGAGGUGAAAUUCGUAGAUAUUGGGAAGAACACCAGUGGCGAAGGCGGCUCACUGGUCCGAUACUGACGCUGAGGUGCGAAAGCGUGGGGAGCAAACAGGAUUAGAAACCCCAGUAGUCC